rnacentral:rRNA from 1 species
UACGUAGGGGGCAAGCGUUGUCCGGAUUUACUGGGCGUAAAGAGCGCGUAGGCGGAAAUUUAAGCGUGGCCUGAAAGCCCCCGGCUCAACCGGGGAGUGCGGCUGCGAACUGGGUUUCUUGAGGACGAUAGAGGAGAGUGGAAUUCCUGGUGUAGCGGUGAGAUGCGUAGAUAUCAGGAGGAACACCUGAGGCGAAGGCGGCUCUCUGGGUCGUACCUGACGCUGAGGCGCGAAAGCGUGGGGAGCGAACGGG